UUUAAAAACUCUUUAAACCCAUGUUUUCUUUUUUUCUGGAGGGCUAGGCCGGCGCUGUUUACGCAACUCAAGUAAGUUUCCACAGGGAGAAAUGGCUUUAAGGGAAAUAAAUAAGCUGUUUACGCUGAACACUAGUUUUCCAGUUUUUCCCCUUGACCAGUUUGAGUGGCUCUUCACCAAGGUAAUGAAAGUCGAAGGAGCGUCAAUAGAGCUAGAGAGGGGCUAUGUGCAAAUAUUAUGUUGGACAUUUUACAAAUCCCCGGGAGCAUCAAACUAGGCCUAUAUCUAUACUAAUAAAAAAGUAAUAAUAUAGCAGUGUUGAACCCCACCGUACAGGAGCGACACAAAAUAUUGAAUUCUACUUCGAAUGCUGGAGGGAACUAUAUGCUUAAAUGUUUCCAGUGACGGGUGCAUAUGCGCAUCCAUCAGUGCGGAUGAAAGGCGCUGAGGCAGACUGGACGCCCAUACAAUGCACAGACAGGGAGUGUAGCCACUCCUGGAUGAAGGCUCCGCAUCUGCACUGUCCAUUCUGCUCCCAGGACAGUCUCUUCACUGAGGAGAUUCUCCUCAAGGCGCACUACGUACAGGGUCAAGUACGUGGAUAAAGGCAUCAACUUUGGGGGAUGUCAACCAGAUCUUCACCACAUACACUGACCCAGCACCCAACAGUACCAGCCUGGUAACACACCUCAUAGUCCCCCAGUCACAGCAGCCAUCGGAGACAGACACAUCAUCCCCGGGGCUAUGAGCAGACUGAUGGGCAGCAGCCGCAGAUCGAGUACCAGUAUGCCUGCAUCAAUGAUCCGAGUCAGAGCACUGCCAAUGGGGAAGUUGUCCUUAUUGAAAUACCAGAUGAAGGAAGCAAAGAGGAUUUGGAGGACGAGACUUGCUACACAGAGCACAACUUGUCGCUGCUGCUGCAGGAGAAGGAAAGUCUGGAGAAGACUCUUGAGGAGGAGCGGACCGCGUGGGCCCAGACAGAGCACAGAAUGAAAGGUUGAGUAUUUGUCCAACACAAACAUGUCACUCAAGCAGCAGCUGUCCAUGAUUCACACGUCCAGUUUGAAACAUCUAACCAACGACAGCGAGAACCAGUCCAUUUUGCAAGAGUUACUGCAACACAUGUCUGAGG
rnacentral:misc_RNA from 1 species